AUCAGUUAGUAUGCCUGAAAGAAAACAAAGAAUAAAGGAAAGAUAGAAAAACAGAUGAGCUUCCUGCUUCCUCACAAAAUAACACUUGUGCUUAUGUAAAGUCUUGCAUAAGGUAUCAGCAGAAUUUUCUCACUAUUUAUUAACUUGGCCUGAACACAGAAUCAAUGUCAGACUGAUAAGCCUAUAAUUACCUGGAUCCUUGGCCUGGGUGACCUCUCUAGAGCAAGGUGGUGCACUUGAAGGAACUGCUAAAGUAUAGUCAACAGAAGAAUCCAUAAAGGACACCUUUUGGUUGUCAACAACAGAAUCAGGAGAUGCAGAGUAGUCAAACCUUCGCUGGAAUGGGUUUUUACAGAUUCCUGGAGUGAGUUGCAUUCUCUGUGUCAGAAGCCUUUGUGGGGCAACACAAUCAACCACAUCAUUUUCUGGGAGGCAAGAAAAUGAUGGAAAAAACCCAACCAGUAAUAACAUCAAAAGGUUGAAACCCCCAUCUGAUCAGACAGCAACCAGGUUGUAUUUCUGACUUGGGCAAGCAAGGAAGGUCUGAAAAAUCUAUUAUGGUUUUGACAGCAGAAGAGACAAACUGGGCUGUCAUGGAUGGCCUGCCAAGAAGCUCCUUUCAACUACGGAUCUGCAGCCUAGCUUCCUGUACUUCUCUGUACAACUUGUUGAUCUUGAGAUUCAUGGAACACACAUCAAAAGAGGGGGUCAAUGGUCAGAGUCAAUUCAAGACAAUUUAGUUUAGUAGUCAUCCUGUCAGACUCACUAGUAAGGAAAAACUUGAGUAGCCACUUG